CCUCCGUCCGGAGCCGACCGUGCUGCCCGCAGGCCCCCUCGGAUUUCGUUCUUGAGCGUUUGCCUGUUAAGCGCCCGCUUCCCGGACUGGCGGGAGAUGGGGCUGGGGGGCCGGGUACGUUCUGGAGCUGUCAGCGGCGUGUUGGUUAAAGGGGAAAGCUACUUUUUUUAAAACUCCAGUAAUGUAUAGGCCAGAAAUUCUGAAUCACGAACAUUUCAGUGGCACUUGAAGCCGUGGAUUUGGGCAAACUCCAGAGAACAGCAGAGGGCUAAGAAGAGUGCUCUGGGGGAAUUCCAACAUUUGUAAUAUGUGAAGAGGAGCCCUUGGAGAAUCUUUGAAAAGGAACAGCCAAUGAGAAAGAAUAAAAAUUAAGUGACGAUUCUUAUAGAA